rnacentral:rRNA from 1 species
ACAACCCGGCGGCAUGCCUUAUACAUGCAGUCGAACGAGAAAGUCCUUCGGUGGCGAUACAGUGGCGCACGGGUGAUAACGCGUAAUAUCUACCCUUCGUCUGGGACAACUCUGGAAACGAGAGCUAUACGGAUAAACCUUCGGGUUGAAAGAUUUAUCGCUGGGGGAUGAGUCUGCGUACCAUUAGCUUGUUGGUGGGGUAACGGCCUACCAAGGCGACGAUGGUUAGCGGGUCUGAGAGGACGAUCCGCCACACUGGAACUGAGACACGGUCCAGACUCCUACGGGAGGCAGCAGUAGGGAAUAUUGCGCAAUGGGGGCAACCCUGACGCAGCAAUGCCGCGUGAGUGAAGAAGGCCUUCGGGUCGUAAAGCUCUUUCGCCUGUGAUGAUAAUGACAGUAGCAGGUAAAGAAACCCCGGCUAACUCCGUGCCAGCAGCCGCGGUAAUACGGAGGGGGUUAGCGUUGUUCGGAAUUACUGGGCGUAAAGCGCGCGUAGGCGGAUUAGAAAGUUGGGGGUGAAAUCCCGGGGCUCAACCCCGGAACUGCCUCCAAAACUGCUAGUCUAGAGUUCGAGAGAGGUGAGUGGAAUUCCGAGUGUAGAGGUGAAAUUCGUAGAUAUUCGGAGGAACACCAGUGGCGAAGGCGGCUCACUGGCUCGAUACUGACGCUGAGGUGCGAAAGUGUGGGGAGCAAACAGGAUUAGAUACCCUGGUAGUCCACACCGUAA